rnacentral:rRNA from 1 species
AGUCGAGCGGGAUCUGUUGAUCAAUCCUUCGGGAGAGAAACUUCAGGUGAGAGCGGCGAACGGGUGAGUAAUAUAUGGGUAAUCUGCCUUGAAGCCCGGGAUAGCCAUUGGAAACGAUGGGUAAUACCGGAUGUGCUCGCUCCGCACCUGCGGAGUUAUGUAAAGGUGGGGAUCUUCGGACCUGCCACUUUAAGAUGGGCCCAUAUCCUAUCAGCUUGUUGGUGAGGUAACAGCUCACCAAGGCUUUGACGGGUAGCCGACCUGAGAGGGUGACCGGCCACACUGGGACUGAGACACUGCCCAGACUCCUACGGGAGGCUGCAGUCGAGAAUCAUUGUCAAUGUACGAAAGUAUGAACAUGCGACGCCGCGUGGAGGACGAAGGCCUUCGGGUUGUAAACUCCUGUCAUGAGGGAGGAACCGCAGACGGUUAAUACCCGUUCUGUUUGACAGUACCUCAAGAGGAAGUCACGGCUAACUCUGUGCCAGCAGCCGCGGUAAUACAGAGGUGGCAAGUGUUGUUCGGAUUUACUGGGCGUAAAGGGUCCGCAGGCGGUUCUGUGUGUCAGAUGUGAAAAUCCACGGCUCAACCGUGGAACUGCAUUUGAAACUACAGAACUAGAGUACAGCAGGGGAGAGGGGAAUUCAUGGUGUAGCGGUGAAAUGCGUAGAUNUCAUGAAGAACACCGGUGGCGAAAGCGCCUCUCUGGACUGAUACUGACGCUCAUGGACGAAAGCCGGGGGAGCGAAAAGGAUUAGAUACCCUUGUAGUCCCGGCCAUAAACGGUGUGC